CUCCUCUUCCUCCUCCUCCUCUUCCUCCUCCUUUUCCUCCUCCUUCACGUCGGGCUGAGCUUCGUCCGUCUUCUUGUACUCUGCUGCCGGCGUCGCUGGGGUCUUCUUCUGCAGGACAAAAACAGGACACAUGAUGUAAUAGUGGUGUUGUCGGCGGUUUCUGACGACGUUUCACAACAACAGACAGAAACUAAACUACAGCACCACAGAACCAGAACCGGCACCGGCAGCACACAGAACCAACACAGGAAGCUACUCUAACAGCGUCAGUCACCGGGCCUGAGGAGGCGGUGGCAGGUCCGUUUGGGCGUCCGGCUUCCUUUAACUCUUCCUGUAAGCUGGUAUACAGAUCUGUCUAUCCAGCUGACAGUACAGCGUGUGUCAGCGUGUGUAUGCGUGUGUGUGUGGGUGUGUGCGUGCGUGCGUGCGUUACCUUGCCGGUGCAACAGAAGACGAUGAUGAGGAC